rnacentral:rRNA from 1 species
AAAGCGAAUAGUGAAAUCUGGCGGCUCAACCGUACAGGCUAUUAUUCGAACUCACUAACUCGAGAGUGGUAGAGGUCACUGGAAUUUCUUGUGUAGGAGUGAAAUCCGUAGAUAUAAGAAGGAACACCGAUGGCGUAGGCAGGUGACUGGACCAUUUCUGACGCUAAGGCACGAAAGCGUGGGGAGCGAACCGGAUUAGAUACCCUGGUAGUCCACGCCCUAAACGAUGCGAACUG